GCCUGGAUGGCUCAGUGGAUGAGCAUCUGCCUUCGGCUCAGGUCGUGAUCCUGGAGUCCUGGGAUCGAGUCCCAUACCAGGCU
rfam:Canis lupus familiaris chromosome 3, whole genome shotgun sequence.